UGGGGAAUUUUGGACAAUGGGGGCAACCCUGAUCCAGCAAUGCCGCGUGUGUGAAGAAGGCCUUCGGGUUGUAAAGCACUUUUGUCCGGAAAGAAAACGCCGUGGUUAAUACCCGUGGCGGAUGACGGUACCGGAAGAAUAAGCACCGGCUAACUACGUGCCAGCAGCCGCGGUAAUACGUAGGGUGCAAGCGUUAAUCGGAAUUACUGGGCGUAAAGCGUGCGCAGGCGGUCCGCUAAGACAGAUGUGAAAUCCCCGGGCUUAACCUGGGAACUGCAUUUGUGACUGGCGGGCUAGAGUAUGGCAGAGGGGGGUAGAAUUCACGUGUAGCAGUGAAAUGCGUAGAGAUGUGGAGGAAUACCGAUGGCGAAGGCAGCCCCCUGGGCCAAUACUGACGCUCAUGCACGAAAGCGUGGGGAGCAAACAGGAUUAGAUACCCUGGUAGUCCACGCCCUAAACGAUGUCAACUAGUUGUCGGGUCUUCAUUGACUUGGUAACGUAGCUAACGCGUGAAGUUGACCGCCUGGGGAGUACGGUCGCAAGAUUAAAACUCAAAGGAAUUGACGGGGUCAUA
rnacentral:rRNA from 1 species